rnacentral:RNase_P_RNA from 1 species
AGCGGGCCGAGUGGUCGCUGCUCGGGAGGCUCUCACGAGCCAACCGCGUGGAGGAAAGUCCGGGCUCCGCAGGACACGGUGGUGGGUAACGCCCACCGUCCGCGAGGACAGGGACAGUGCCACAGAGAAUAGACCGCCGAUCGGGGGCUCACUGGAGCCCCAGGAGGCAAGGGUGAAACGGUGCGGUAAGAGCGCACCAGCGGGCCGGGUGACCGGCUCGGCUUGGCAAACCCCACCGGGAGCAAGAUCAAGCAGGGAGCCUUGUCGGACUGGUCCGGUCCGCUGUGACUUCCGGGUCGAUCGCUCGAGGUGCCGGGCAACCGGCAUCCCAGAGAAAUGACUACUCUCGACAAAACCCGGCUUACAGGCCCGUC